AUUGAACGCUGGGGGAAGCCCUAAAACAGGCAAGCCGACGGAGGGGCGAACGGGUGGGAAAGGUCGGGGAAACGGCCCGUUGGGGGGGGAAAACUACGGGAAACGGUGGCUAAUACCGAAAACCACGGGAGGUGCCCAGAUGGGAUUAGCUAGUAGGUGGGGUAACGGCUCACCUAGGCGACGAUCCCUAGCUGGUCUGAGAGGUUGACCAGCCACCCUGGAACUGAGACACGGUCCAGACUCCUACGGGAGGCAGCAGUGGGGAAUAUUGCACAAUGGGCGCAAGCCUGAUGCAGCCAUGCCGCGUGUAUGAAGAAGGCCUUCGGGUUGUAAAGUACUUUCAGCGAGGAGGCGUUACUCGCAGAAGAAGCACCGGCUAACUCCGUGCCAGCAGCCGCGGUAAUUC
rnacentral:rRNA from 1 species